GAUCCCCACAGAUCCCAUUGAGCCCCAUAGAUCUCAGUGUACCCCAUAGAUCCUGGUGUGCCCCACAGAUCCCAGUGUGCCCCACAGAUUCCACUGAGCCCCAUAGAUGUCAGUGUGCCCCACAGAUCCCAUUGAGCCCCACAGAUCCCAGUGUGCCCCACAGCUGCCCCUAUUGUAGUGCAGGGUGAGGUGUGACAUGGGGGGCACACGCACACUCACACACGUGCACACAUACAUGUGCACUUACAUACAUGAACACACACACACACACACACACAUAUGUACGCACUCACACGUGCACUCACACACACGUGUGCACUCACACACAUGUGCGCACACACAUGCAUGUACAGACGCAUGCACUCACACGCACACGUGAGCACACACACACAGAUGGGUACUCGCACACGUGUGUGCACUCACACACAUGCAUUCAGACAUGCACUCACACACACACAGACACACAUGCACACACACAUGUGCUCUCACACACAUGGAUUCACACACUCACAUGUGUGCACCCACAUAUGUGCUCUCACACACACGUGCACUCACACAUGUGCACUCACACACAUGUGCACUCACACAUGUGCACUCACACACAUGUGCACUCACACAUGCGCAGACACGUGCUCACCCACACACACACUCACACACAUGCAUUCACACACAUGUGCUCUCACAUGUGCUCUCACACACACAUGCUUUUACACACACGUGCACUCAGACACACGUGCUAUCACAUAUGUGCUCUCACGCACAUACUCUCACACACAUGCAAUUAGACACGUUCUCACACACACAUGCACUCACGUACACUCACACACAUGUGCACUCACACAUGCACUCACACACACAUGCUCACACACGUGCACUCAGACACAUGUGCUUUCACACACACAUGCACUCACACAUGCCUGCACUCACACACACGCACCCUCCCAAACACAUGUGCACUCACACAUGUACACUCACACACGUGCUCUCACACACACGUGCUCUUACACACACGUGCUCUCACACACAUGUGCUCUCACACCCACCUUUUUGCACCAGUGCUGUGGAGGGGAGAGAGGAGAGAGGUCAAGGGGUGCAACACGGAACCGUGCACGGAACCGUGCACACGGAAUGGCAUGGAACGGUGCACGUGGAACGGUGCACACGGAACGGUGCACAUGAAAUGGUGCACAUGGAAUGGUGCACAGGGAAUGGUGCAUAGAAUGGUGCAUGGAACGGUGCAUGGAACGGUGCAUGGAAUGGUGCACAUGGAACACUGCACAUGGAAUGCUGCACAUGGAAUGGUGCACACUGAAUGGUGCACAUGGAAUGGCGUACAUGGAAUGGUGCAUGGAACAGUGCAUGGAAUGGUGCACAGGGAAUGGUGCACAGAAUGGUGCGUGGAAUGGUGCACACGGAACGGUGCAUGUGGAACAGUGCAUGGAAUGGUGCACAUGAAAUGGUGCAUGGAACAGUGCAUGGAAUGGUGCAGAGAACGGUGCAUGGACUGGUGCACAUGGAACAGUGCAUGGAAUGGUGCAUGGACUGGUGCACAGGGACUGGUGCAUGGAGCAGCACACAGAAGAGCACGCAUGGAACGGCGCACGGCACACAGAACAGCACACGGAACGGCGCACGGAUCUGCGUGUGACACACAGCACGCGGCACAGCACGGCGCACACGGUGCACGGCACGCGGCACGCAAUGCAUGGCGUGCAGCACACAGCACACAGCACGCAACACACGGCACGCGGGUGUUGUGGCACGCAGCACACGGUGCACGGCACACGAUGCACAACACGCAGCACACGUUGCAACGCGGCACACGGAACACAGAACGUGGCACAAAGCACAUGGCACGCAGAACAUGGCAGGGUGCAUGGCACGCGGCACACAACAUACAACACAGCAUGAUGCAUGGCACACAGCACAUAUAAGAUAGCACGAUGCAUGGCAUGCAGCUCAUGGCACACAGAACAUGGUAUGGCGCAUGACACACAGCACACAACAUACAACAUAGCAUGACGCAUGGCACAGCACAUGGCACGCAGCACACAGCACGCAGAACAUGGCAUGACACAUGGCACACGGCACAUGGCACACGCAACAUGGCAUGAUGCAUGGCACGCAGCACACGGCACACACAGCAGCAUGCAUGGAGCACCAAGUGCAUGGCAUGCAGCACACGUUGCAGCACACGCAGCACGUGACAUGCAGCCCGCGUUGUGACACACGGCCCAGCGUGCAGCACACACGUGACAUGCAGCACACACGUGACGUGGCACAUGACACGCAGCAGGGCAUGCACCGCAACAUGCAGCACACGCAUGGCACACACCACACGGCAUGAUGCAUGGCACGUGGCACACGUGGGUGACAUGCAGCACACAGCACAGCAUGCAGCGCGGCAUGCAGCACACGCGUGGCACACGCAGCACAUGGCACACAGCAAUGCAUGGCAUGUGGCACACGCUGCGACACGCAGCUCACACUGGUGAUGCAUGGCACACGCAACACAUACGUGACACGCAGCACACGGCACACGCUGUAACAUGCAGCACACGCUGUGACAUGCAGCACAUGGCACCCGCAACACACAUGUGACACGCAGCGCACGGCACACGCAGCAACACACAGUGACACGCAGCACACUCUGGGACACACAGCUCACAUGGAUGAUGCACGGCACACGCAGCACACGCUGUGACACAGCACACGGUGAUGAUGCACGGCACACGCAGCACACACGUGACACGCAGCACACAGCACACGCUGUGACACACAGCUCACUGAGACGCGCAGCUCACAUGGAUGAUGCAUGGCACACACAGCACACACACGACAUGCAGCACACGGUGAUGAUGCGUGGCACAUGCAGCACACAUGUGACACAGCACACAUGGAUGAUGCACACGCAGCACAUGCUGAUACACAGCA
ensembl:lncRNA